rnacentral:rRNA from 1 species
GGUUAAGCGACUAAGCGUACACGGUGGAUGCCCUGGCAGUCAGAGGCGAUGAAGGACGUGCUAAUCUGCGAAAAGCGUCGGUAAGGUGAUAUGAACCGUUAUAGCCGGCGAUGUCCGAAUGGGGAAACCCAGUGCAAUUUGUUGCACUAUCGUUAACUGAAUACAUAGGUUAACGAGGCGAACCGGGGGAACUGAAACAUCUAAGUACCCCGAGGAAAAGAAAUCAACCGAGAUUCCCCCAGUAGCGGCGAGCGAACGGGGAGCAGCCCAG